GCCAGACUCCUACGGGAGGCAGCAGUGGGGGAUAUUGCACAAUGGAGGAAACUCUGAUGCAGCGACGCCGCGUGAGGGAAGACGGUCUUCGGAUUGUAAACCACUGUCCCCAGGGACGAAGAUGACGGUACCUGGGGAGGAAGCUCCGGCUAACUACGUGCCAGCAGCCGCGGUAAUACGUAGGGAGCGAGCGUUGUCCGGAAUUACUGGGUGUAAAGGGAGCGUAGGCGGGACUGCAAGUUGGGUGUCAAAUCUACCGGCUCAACCGGUAGCCGCACUCAAAACUGCAGUUCUUGAGUGAAGUAGAGGCAGGCGGAAUUCCUAGUGUAGCGGUGAAAUGCGUAGAUAUUAGGAGGAACACCAGUGGCGAAGGCGGCCUGCUGGGCUUUUACUGACGCUGAGGCUCGAAAGUGUGGGGAGCAAACAGGAUUAGAUACCCCUGUA
rnacentral:rRNA from 1 species